rnacentral:misc_RNA from 1 species
AAGUCGUAACAAGGUUUCCGUAGGUGAACCUGCGGAAGGAUCAUUAACACGUAUCCACGUAUCAACCAACUGUGAACUUGUUCUCAACUCUCCCUGCAUGUGCGAGAUGAAUUGGAAUCGCUGGUGUGUAUGACUGGGCGGCUUCGGCCGUUCGCACACUGCGACUAUCUGGAAGCAAUUCCUAACAAUUGUACCCGUCGUGUAGGCACACAAUGUUCUGCUCUCAAACGAUCGCCGGUUCAUCGGUCGUCGGAGUGGAACGAUAUUAUACACACUAUUUCACCCCCUUUUUGCUAGUUGACUUUUUAUAUGUGAUUGUUUUGCUUAAUUGCAAUGUAGUCGCACGUUUAAUUACUUGAACGUUAAAAAAUACAACUCUUAGCAAUGGAUAUCUUGGUUCUC